rnacentral:rRNA from 1 species
UGGGGAAUAUUGGACAAUGGGCGCAAGCCUGAUCCAGCAAUGCCGCGUGUGUGAAGAAGGCCUUAGGGUUGUAAAGCACUUUCGGUUGGGAGAAAAAAUCCAGGGUGAACCCUGGACUUGAUGUUACCAGCAUAAGAAGCACCGGCAAACUCUGUGCCAGCAGCCGCGGUAAUACAGAGGGUGCAAGCGUUAAUCGGAAUUACUGGGCGUAAAGCGCGUGUAGGCGGACAAAUCAGUCGGAUGUGAAAUCCCCGGGCUUAACCUGGGAACUGCGUUCGAUACUACUUGUCUAGAGUAUGGUAGAGGGAGGUGGAAUUUCCGGUGUAGCGGUGAAAUGCGUAGAUAUCGGAAAGAACAUCAGUGGCGAAGGCGACCUCCUGGGCCAAUACUGACGCUGAGA